ACUUUGAUAAUUAGCUUUUCAAAAUAACUCGCUCUUCAACGAAAAUGUAGGAGUACAGCAGCGACUGAAAAGUCUUGCAAAUAUGUAAGAGUAAAAGGCUUCUUUUGAACUGACUGUUAUUCAGUUAUUUUAUUCUAUACUUUAUUAGUUUGAAGUAUGUUAGGGUUAAGUGAAAGCGUUGACGCAGAGGGCGUACAAAUCGUGAACUAACAAGAAUUCCAAAAGUUUAGAAAACUUGAACUCCUUAUUGAAACUUGCGGUCGUACGCGUUUACUUGACGUUUUUUUUUAAUAAGCAAUUAUUUCAAUGAUCGAUUAGUUUUAUUCAAGUUUCAUUAGUGGUGGCACGUAGGCACCAGCAGCAACGGUAGCAAUGAAUAAAUAAAGACCAAUCUUUUAUUAAUGGUGAGCUAAUGGUGACGCAAUUAAUCAAUACAAUUUAAAUGAGAGUGCAUUUCAACAAUUUGAUUUGAUUUUUCAUAGGAAAACCCUGUAUAUUUCAGUUGCUAGGCAGUUAUAGUGAAGGUAACCAGAUUUAGUAGGUGCAAUGGUGCGAUCAAGGAUGCUAUGUAACAUAGCAUCCUGGGGUGUAAUCAAUUUCUGAAUAAUAUAACGUCAUUAAUUAUGUGUAUUGCAAAGAGAAAAAGAAAGGAGAAGAGGAAAGGUUAGAAAACUGCCUCAAACGGUUCAUUGACCUUGGUAUUUUGGGAGUGGCCGCGGAUUGAGGAGGAGGGGUGUAGGUAAACGGAAUGACUUUCUGCAAAAAUGGAACGAUUGAAGAAAACAAGCAAUGGCAGCUCGCGCAGAAGCAGAAAGGGAGGGUAUUCAGGUUCCGCUAACGCUAGAAGACUACUGUAUUAAAACGCAAGUGAAGCCAAAUAACGACAACCAAGUCGAGAUGACCGACUUUUACGACGACGAUUACGACGAAGACUACGACGACCCCUCAGACGGUUCGGAUUGUGCAGAGGACGACGAAAACGAUAGCGGUAACGGGGAAUCGUGAUCCCAAUAGGAGAUUAUGCACAGAUCUAACCUGCUAAAUUGUAUUCUUAUCUAAUUGUAGGCGUUUUGAUAAGUACCCCUUAUUUUCUCAUCGGUUUGUUGUAGCUUCGUUACGAAUAGAUUUCGGUGUGGUAGGAGGUUGCAGCUGCCAACUUGACAAUUAGAAA